rnacentral:rRNA from 2 species
UGGCGAACGAGUGAGUAACGCGUAGACAACUUGCCCAGAGAUUUGGGAUAACAUCGAGAAAUUGAUGCUAAUACCGAAUAAUAUCACGGACACCCCGGUGUCUGUGAUCAAAGGUGGCUUCGGCUACCGUCUUUGGAUGGGUCUGCGUCUGAUUAGCUUGUUGGUGAGGUAAUGGCUCACCAAGGCGACGAUCAGUAGCUGGUCUGAGAGGAUGAUCAGCCACACUGGGACUGAGAUACGGCCCAGACUCC